UUCCCGCUUCGCACCCUUCGGGAACUCUGGGAAGAAGUUAGGCCCGAUUAUAUUUCGGGUUGCUCCCUUGCCAGGCAGGGAGGCAGGGUAUGGCCAUCCACCGCGGAGAAGGGAAGUUAGUGAGGAGAGUCCGGUGUGUGAAGCUGGCUCCUGCGGCGGCUUCCUUCCUACGUUUAGGGGUGGUGUCUUGGUUUGGAGGGGCUGUGGGAUGAUGCCAGUCUUUGAGGAAGUUGGGUGCUUCUGGAAUCAUCUGCUACUCUGGGGUGUAAGACACACGUACUUGUCUGUCAGAUCAGGUGGGCCAGGGCCAGGUUGGUCAACACAAGAACUGAGGCAUCCUCCCCUUCCCAGGCAGCUCCUUGGGUCUCAAAACUCUUGGUGCUGUGUCACACGGUGCCUUGAGUGAGUCCAUCUUGGGUCCAGGCACCGCAUUAUCCUGGAGGGCAGAGGGUAGUUACUGCCUUCCCAGGCUUUAGAGAGCAAGGCUGUGACAGCUCUCAGCUCUGCCUCCCUGACCUAGACUUUCUUUCAAAAACCUCUCUCCACCCCCAUCUUUACCCAUCCCACCCACCCACCCCACCCGGCCUCCCCCAUAUCACCACCCAACCGACCAUUUUUGUCUUGCUAUUUCUCUGACAUAAAAAUCUAUUGAGUUUGUUUAAGUUAGUUAUCUGAUGGACUUAGAUGCUGGAAACCAAUAGGGAUAUUUUGCUUUCUGUCCUGCCCCAUUAUCCUCUGAGACUGGGGUACCUAGCCUAAGGGUGUAGCGAUUGCCUAACGCACACAAGAAUCUGGGUUUGACACCCCUCUCCCAGCACUAAAGAGAAAGGGGAAGAAGAAUAGCAGAAAAUAAAAGACAUAACGCUAAUAUCUUGAAAGUGUGAUCCUGGGAUAGCGCUGGGUACACAGUCUCCCCGCUAUCCUGGAGGAUGCUCUUCCAGGCAGUGACCAGGGGUCCAAACCCCUUCCAUCUUGUGGCUCCACUGUAUUCACCUGGGUUGGCCAGAUCACUGCCAACCCAGAUGAAGAUACACAGAUGCUCUGUCUGCUCCUAAGUGCAUCACGGUCUCCCACCCUUCACUUCUGACAGCUCCCUACACUGCAAGAGGCUGGGCACUGUUUGGCUGUGUCUCCAAGGAAAAAGAAAUGACUUUGAAACACAUCCAAACAGCCUGCGCUGUCUGUCCUCUUUUUGAGAACUGAAAAGGGUGUUUGGGGUAAACAGAAAGCAGAGCUUAAGAAAGAGCCCGGUAGUAGACAAAGAAAGAAAAUAGGCCAACCAUAUCUCAUAUGCAAAAGCAUAGUGGCAGCAUUAGCAAAUUUAAUUUAGUUCACGCAGUCUCCGCCUCUCCUGGGAGAGUCUCUUCCGCGGGAUGAUCUCUAAGCCCCUUCCAGAGGGCUACUCUCAAAUUAUAUUUCCUGGGACCUCCCACUUAAAAGAGUAAUUUGAAGAGAGUAACCAGGACCUGCAUACAAAAGCCUUAAAUAUUGGGAAAUCUAUUAAUAAAAUCAAUUCUAUUGCAAUUCUCAAGAGAAGAAUUGCAAUCGUGACAGAUGUCAAUGUGGCAUUGAAAAUUCCUACAUUUAUCCUUGUAGAAGAUACUAGUGAGUUUGCUGGGCGUGGUGGUGCACAGCUUCCGUUCCUGCCCUGUGCGACGGUGAUGUGAAGAUGUCUGUGAGUUCCAGGCCAGCCAGAGCUACAAAGAGAGCCCCCCCCCAAUAUAUACACAUGCUGUGAUCGUGUACUGUGAAAAUUCAAGAGGAUGGUUAAUUUUGAUGAUUUGAAUUUAAUGUGAUACUAUGCAGUUUGCAGACGGGAUGAAGUGGAUUUGCAUGCACGGACAUGAGAAGUGGGGGAUGACAGAUGAAGUGACGCAACCGAGCUGCAGAGCAGCAUGCCUCACAGGAUGCAGCGUGUGCAUGUGUGCGGUGGAGGGCAGGCAGGCUGUGGGAGGCCGUCACCGGAGCUCUGGAGACGAGAAUGGCAUGGGGUGGGGAAGCUGUUUGGAAUUUUUAAAACAUU